GGCCAAGGAGAUGGCGGAGAAGGCGGCGGAGAUGGUGAAAGAAGCGAAUGAUACAACGGAGACGGCAAAGAGAGAGAUGGCCAAGGCGUUGGGGGUGAUGAGGAAAGUCAAGUGGAACGUGUAAACCGGUAGACGCGCUUCGGUUCAGUUCCACUACUAAUCAGAGUUUUUUUGCUAGGCAGAUCGUUUGAUUCAUUGGUUUAUAAAUUGGUUGGCUGGUUUAUAAGCGGUUUAAUUGAUUUGACUCGUGUGAUCCGAAAAGAAAUUCGGUUUGAUUUCCAGUUUAAGCGUCUUUAGCCUGUGAUCUCAUGCUGGCAUCACUUAAAAUAUGAGACCAACAUUAUCGCCGUUUCUUAGCUAAAGUUUUUAGUAUAAUUAAGAUUAAAAAUAAAUCAAAAUUAGUUAUUAUCAGAAAAACAUUAUUUAAUUAAGGACAAGAACAAACGUUUCUUGAGACACGUGUCUCUCAUUGAGGGAGUUUCCCCUUCUUCUCUCCACAUCUCUCUCUGUGGUGACUCCUCUGUUUCUCACUUCAGAGGAAAAUGGUAAAAUACAAAGCUUUGGUUGAGGACUGUUGCUGUGAUUACGAAACAGUGGACAAAUCUUCUCCAGUUCCAGUGUUAGCUGAUGAUCCAAGCGGUGAUGAUCUUGUUUUGUCUCCAAGGAAGAAUCUUUGCUUGAGGUUCAGGUUCAGAUUAAGAAAGAUGCGUCGAUGGUCGGAUCUUAUCUCAAAGGAAGACUCAAUCAGCUGAAAGAGAAACACGAAAUCAUUGGGGAUGUACGGGGAAGAGGACUGAUGCUUGGAGUUGAGCUGGUGAGUGGUCGCAAACUUAAAACUCCUGCAACUGCCGAGACUCUUCGCAUCAUGGAUGAUAUGAAAGGUUUGUUGGUUUUGUGUUUUUUGUGGGAAAAUUGAGAGUGAUCCAGUUUGAUUUAAGAUCUCGGAAUUUGUGUGUGCAAUUGUGUAAAGGAUCAUAGCUCAGAAGAAGAAAGGAAGAUGAGUGGAAGUGGAGAUAAAGUUAGUGUAACUACAAAGUCCUAGUAAUAAUGUGCAUAUUUCCUAAUGUCUCUUAACAAUGUAUCUUACUCUAAAAAUAGUAAUAAAAAAAGCUAAGAACUCAAAAUUUUGUCCCAGCAAUAAUGAUGCUCUGAUACCAAAAACAUUCAAGAGACAUCUCAUCCGAAAAUGCCACGCGUCAAUGAAGCUGUGGCUGAGAUUGACUACACAGUCCACGUCAGCUUACUAGAAACAGGAUCAUGCUUGUCUUCACACUUUUGCCACUUCUUCUUUAAUCUUUCCUGAACGUUUGAUGAUACGGAGAAGACACUUCUUGGUGUAGUGUAGAGAGAAAGAGAGAGCCAUGGAAGCUUUGAAAGUCGCUAGCUUUACUCCUAUGUCAGUUUUAUCCGAAAAGAGAUCAGAACCAGGGAGACCCUUCUCACUCCCUAGCAUAUUUCCACCAAGAAGACCCCAACCCAAUCUCCAUGGAAAGCUUCUUCAAGAGCUUCAAUGGCGGGUUGGCUCUACUAACUUCUGUUCUAAGCAGUGCAAUAGCUCCUGCAAAGUCUCUGACGUACGAGGAAACCUUGCAACUAUCUAUUGACCACUUCUUCAUCUUUUGAUUUAGACGGUUUGAUCUAUGGGAUAUCAAGUUUCUUCACGGACAACCCUCCGGUUAUUUCUGCAUUUUCUGUUCCCUUUGUUCUGUCUCAGGUUCUGAACAAAAAUAAUAAGUGUUUAAUAUGCUAGAAUUUUAAACAAAAAGUUUACUAUUUGGAUAUUAGGUUUGUGUUUCCAUAUUUCAUCUGUAAAAAAAAAAUUGUUUUUCAAUAUAAAUAUAGAUUUUAUGGAGAGGUGUUCUAUGUAAGAGACACAUUGUGAUAUUUAGUUUGUUGAAAGUUAGCAUAUUAAUAAAUGUUUAAUAUGUUACGA